UUGAGUGUCGUGAGCCGCCUCUCUGCACACGCCCCGCAGCCAAGGGCGGACACCACCACCUCGCGCUGGGACCUCCCGUCUGCGAAGGGCGGUGCGAGGCCCCUGCACGCGGCAGCCCCUGAGCCAGUGACACCAGAGGAGGCGUGGAGGAAAAGGAAACCAAAAAGAUGAUCUUACCAGCAAAGGAGGUCCGGAUCCAGGGAACACGAGGACAUCAAAUUCAAAGCCGUGUUGAACCUCAGCUGUGACUCCCAGGAUCGGCCACUCGAUUAUCUGGGACUGUUCCUGCAUCUAUUUGUACAUGCAUCUUCCAUCCCAUUCCAAAAAAAAUAUUAUCGAGCACCUAAUGUGUGCCAGUGUGAAGACACGGAAUUGAAGAAAAUGGACAAAUUCAAGUAGCUUUUAUUCUAAGGGAGGGAAUUAGGCUAUAAACCUAUCAGUGUCUUGCAUAACACCAGGUGGUGAUGAGGGUGUGAAGAAAAAUGAAGUAGGAUGCUUGGGGCUGGACUGUGAGAGGGUUGGGGGAAAGGCAGCUUCUAUUUGAGGGAUGAUCAGAGAAGGCCUUUCUAGGGAGACCAUGUUUGAGCAGAGAAGCUCCGGCGAAAGUGUUCCAGGCAGAAAGUAGAGCAAGUGCAAAAGCCCUGAGGCAGGAAUGAGCUUGGUGGGCCUGAGGGACAGUGAGAGGAAGUCCGUAUUCCUGGAGCAGAAUGGAAGGAAGUGAUGACUGAUGAGAAGGCUGGAAAAGUGGUAGGAGUUGGAUCAAAUCAGAUCCAGCUGCUUACCAAGACAUGAGGAAACUAUUGUUUUUUUAUUUGUUUGGUUGGU